UUGACGAUCGCUAUGAAAUUAUGCCUUUCGUUUGUAAACGGAUUAAUAAAGUAAGAAAAGUAACUUUGAAAAAUUAUUCACGACGUUUCUGAGAGGUGAGAUGCGGUAGAGAGUCGAAAAGUGGACUUUUACCCCCUUUUUUGACCUAAAUCCUUAUCUCAGAACCAGAAAUCAUUGACGAUCGCUAUGAAAUUAUGCCUAUCGUUUGUAAACGGAUUAAUGAAGUGAGAAAAGUAACUUUUAAAAAUUAUUCACGACGUUUCUGAGAGGUGAGAUGCGGUAGAAAGUCGAAAAGUGGACUUUUACCCCCUUUUUUGACUUAAAUCCUUAUCUCAGAACCAGGAAUCAUUGACGAUCGCUAUGAAAUUAUGCCUAUCGUUUGUAAACGGAUUAAUGAAGUGAGAAAAGUAACUUUUAAAAAU